rnacentral:lncRNA from 1 species
UGCCGCCCUUCUCCGAAGACUCAGGGCGGCUUACAAUUUUUGGGAUACAACCCAGUGUGCUCAGCAAUCUUAAGUCCGAGUCACUUGAUUUACUUCCGAGUAAGGCUAUACACGCAAACACUAAGCCACCCUGGCACCUUGUGCCCGCGAAACACAGGCCAUCCAAUAGCUUCACCCCCCUUAAUUUGGAAGAGGAUUAGCUCUUUUACGGGGUCAUAAUAGCCGGAGGUAGAGCUCAACCCGCCUAGUGGGCUUCAGUUGGGAGUCUGUUAAUUAACUGGUGUAAUUUUGGGGUGUUUUGAAGGGUUUUUGGAGCUGCUACCUCCGGGCCUCUUGAUGCCUUCUUAAGCAAGGUUAAUUAACUUCAGUGGGUUUGAGCUGUUUAAUUACAAAGGGCUGAUGUAAUAAAUGAUAAGGGACAGUUCCUGGAAAAUGAAAUCAAUGAAAUGUAAUAACUUAGAACACAGGAUGAGCACUGGUACUGAGCAUAAACUUCAUAGGUUUGCAAUUUCACAUGAUGAUUAUUAAAUGUUUGGCUUGAAAAUAUGCACAGCCAGCCUGAAAAAUAAGAGCUGAGGUAAAGUUUCAUGUUGACUUUUGUAGAAAACUAAUGAAAACAUUUACAUACGUAAGCAUAUAUUGUUUUCAAUGUAUACAGGUAGUCAUAAAAUGAGAACUGGAGUGAAUCAAAUACACAAUUCAUUAAACAAUGUUUCCAAAACAUCUGGUCCUGAAUUGCAGUUUGUUUGUUUUUUACAGAAUUUGAUUUGACAAUAGAUCUAAGCCCAAGCAACUGAAUGUACAGACAAUGUUUCAUGAAGAGCUAAUGAUGUUUCCACAAGACAAUCUGUGGAAGAAUCAAGAAUCCUACAAAAGCAAUAGAAAGGGAUCCCUUCGGGAGUACGGAUGCUUCAGGCCUGACCCGCGCGCUGUGAGUGAAGCGCCGAUUCCCUUCCCAGCUUCCUUCGGUCCAUGUCCCCGGCUCUCGCCUUCUGAAGU